rnacentral:rRNA from 1 species
GACGGAGGAUGCAAGUGUUAUCCGGAAUCACUGGGCGUAAAGCGUCUGUAGGUGGUUUAAUAAGUCAACUGUUAAAUCUUGAGGCUCAACCUCAAAAUCGCAGUCGAAACUAUUAGGCUAGAGUAUAGUAGGGGUAAAGGGAAUUUCCAGUGGAGCGGUGAAAUGCGUAGAGAUUGGAAAGAACACCGAUGGCGAAGGCACUUUACUGGGCUAUUACUAACACUCAGAGACGAAAGCUAGGGUAGCA